ACGGGGGCCCGCACAAGCGGCGGAGCAUGCGGAUUAAUUCGAUGCAACGCGAAGAACCUUACCAAGGCUUGACAUACACUGGACCGUUCUGGAAACAGUUCUUCUCUUUGGAGCUGGUGUACAGGUGGUGCAUGGUUGUCGUCAGCUCGUGUCGUGAGAUGUUGGGUUAAGUCCCGCAACGAGCGCAACCCUCGUUCUAUGUUGCCAGCACGUGAUGGUGGGAACUCAUAGGAGACUGCCGGGGUCAACUCGGAGGAAGGUGGGGAUGACGUCAAAUCAUCAUGCCCUUUAUGUCUCGGGCUUCACGCAUGCUACAAUGGCUGGUACAGAGAGAGGCGAACCCGUGAGGGUAAGCGAAUCCCUUAAAGCCAGUCUCAGUUCGGAUCGUAGUCUGCAAUUCGACUACGUGAAGUCGGAGUCGCUAGUAAUCGCAGAUCAGCAACGCUGCGGUGAAUACGUUCCCGGGCCUUGUACACACCGCCCGUCAAGUCACGAAAGUCGGUAACACCCGAAGCCGGUGUCCCAACCCACUUGUGGGAGGGGGCCGUCUAAGGUGGGAC
rnacentral:rRNA from 1 species